rnacentral:rRNA from 1 species
AUUGAACGCUGGCGGCAUGCCUUACACAUGCAAGUCGAACGGCAGCACGGGAGCAAUCCUGGUGGCGAGUGGCGAACGGGUGAGUAAUAUAUCGGAACGUGCCCAGUAGUGGGGGAUAACUGCUCGAAAGAGCAGCUAAUACCGCAUACGACCUGAGGGUGAAAGGGGGGGAUCGCAAGACCUCUCGCUAUUGGAGCGGCCGAUAUCAGAUUAGCUAGUUGGUGAGGUAAAGGCUCACCAAGGCGACGAUCCGUAGCUGGUCUGAGAGGACGACCAGCCACACUGGAACUGAGACACGGUCCAGACUCCUACGGGAGGCAGCAGUGGGGAAUUUUGGACAAUGGGGGCAACCCUGAUCCAGCCAUUCCGCGUGAGUGAAGAAGGCCUCGGUUGUAAAGCUCUUUCGGCAGGAACGAAACGGUGAGCUCUAACAUAGCUUGCUAAUGACGGUACCUGAAGAAGAAGACACCGGCUAACUACGUGCCAGCAGCC